rnacentral:rRNA from 1 species
GUAGUCUGCAACUCGACUACAUGAAGCUGGAAUCGCUAGUAAUCGCGAAUCAGAAUGUCGCGGUGAAUACGUUCCCGGGUCUUGUACACACCGCCCGUCACACCAUGGGAGUCGGAAAUGCCCGAAGUCAGUGACCUAACCGAAAGGGAGGAGCUGCCGAAGGUGGAGCCGGUAACUGGGGUGAAGUCGUAACAAGGUAAC